AUACGUAGGUGACAAGCGUUAUCCGGAUUUACUGGGCGUAAAGGGCGUGUAGGCGGUCUUGCAAGUCAGAAGUGAAAUUCCUGAGCUCAACUCGGGCGCUGCUUCUGAAACUGCAGGACUUGAGUGCUGGAGGGGAUAGCGGAAUUCCUAGUGGAGCGGUAAAAUGCGCAGAUAUUAGGAAGAACACCGGUGGCGAAGGCGGCUAUCUGGACAGUAACUGACGCUGAGGCGCGAAAGUGUGGGGAGCAAACAGGAUUAGAUACCCUGGUAGUCCACACUGUAAACGAUGAAUGCUAGGUGUAAGAGGUAUCGACCCCUUUUGUGCCGGAGUCAACACAAUAAGCAUUCCGCCUGGGGAGUACGGCCGCAAGGUUGAAACUUAAAGGAAUUGACGGGG
rnacentral:rRNA from 1 species